GCAGCGAGUGCAGCAUUAGUAAGCCUGACUCAGGGGAAGGUAAGUGGCCUGCAGAGAAAUGGUCCUAGGUCCGCAACUGAGGCGAGUGAACUUGUCGGACAGAUGAAGACUCUAACUGGAAGAAACAAUCAGCGCAUUCACGGAUGCACCACCAUCCAGAAAUCUCCCGGUGGCUUCCAUACAAAAACUGAUGUUUCUAAAGAUGGAAAGAACAGGUCUAGGAGGCAGAAGAGUAUCUCCUAGCAAAGUGUUCUGUAGCUCAAAGGGCAGUCAGGAGCACGUCUUUGAAUUCCUCGCAGACGAUGUAUCCAUCAGUCCUGUGGGGACACAACGCGAUGUCAACCCUCGAACCUGCUGCCUGCUCUGCCUCUCCUCCCUCCCCAGUUUGCGGAAGACAGUGGGCCACAUCUGAGCACUAGGGGGUCCUGAAGGAUGUCGCGGGUCAGCCAGUGUCCCACACCCUCCGUGCAGAAGGCAGGCCUGUGGAAACUGGCACUGCCUCUUCCUCCCCAGAUUCUGCCGAAGAAAGCUGGGGUGAAAGCCCUUAUCCAGCCUCACCCAUCAUGGAACAGAGCUCACUAACCAGGCAGCUGCCGGGGAAAGAUGCUGACUGUUUUUUUGCUCACUAGCCUGCUGGAGUGCCCUGGUGUGAUCUCAGCUCACUACAACCUCCACCUCCCGGAUUCAAGUGAUUCUCGUGCCUGUCUCCUGAGUAGCUGGGACUACAGAUGAACACCACAGACGGGGUAAAUGAUUUGCCUAAAGUCACACAGCUCGUAAGGGCCAGAGCCCGCACUUUCAUCCACUAGCCUAUAUUCUGUGCUGUCAUCACUGAUAGCAGUGACUGAGACUGAGAGACAAAGUCACUUAAGAGCUGAUGGCUGCUACUAAAAAUUUUAAAUGUGUGGCUCACGUUACAUUUCAACUGAACACUGCUAUGCUGGUUCCAGCACGAAAGACAGCCACGUGUCCCUGGAAUGCAGAGUGUGCACACAAUCCCUGCGGAACCAACACAGGACACAAAGGUUUUCUUCUCCUCUGCUGUCCAGAGCCUGUGAGAGCUCCAGCUGCAGACUAUCAGGAUGGGGUAAAGGCCGCUGUGCGCAGGCACACUCACGUUUACUACCACCACCAAGCGAACACCUGCUGAGGCUCUGAUCUGCU
rnacentral:antisense_RNA from 1 species